GACGAACGCUGGUGGCGUGCCUAAUACAUGCAAGUCGAGCGGACCAAUAGAAGCUUGCUUCUGUUGGUUGGCGGCGGACGGGUGAGUAACACGUGGGCAACCUGCCUGUAAGACUGGGAUAACUUCGGGAAACCGGAGCUAAUACCGGAUAAUUCAUCCCCUCGCAUGAGGGGAUGCUGAAAGUCGGUUUACGCUGACACUUACAGAUGGGCCCGCGGCGCAUUAGCUAGUUGGUGAGGUAAUGGCUCACCAAGGCGACGAUGCGUAGCCGACCUGAGAGGGUGAUCGGCCCCACUGGGACUGGGACACGGCCCAGACUCCUACGGGAGGCAGCAGUAGGGAAUCUUCCACAAUGGACGAAAGUCUGAUGGAGCAACGCCGCGUGAGCGAUGAAGGCCUUCGGGUCGUAAAGCUCUGUUGUUAGGGAAGAACAAGUAUCGGAGUAACUGCCGGUACCUUGACGGUACCUAACCAGAAAGCCACGGCUAACUACGUGCCAGCCGCCGCGGUAA
rnacentral:rRNA from 1 species